CGGUGGGUGAUGUGGAUUAAUUCGAUGCAACGCGAAAAACCUUACCUACCCUUGACAUGUCUGGAACCUUGCUGAGAGGCGAGGGUGCCUUCGGGAGCCAGAACACAGGUGCUGCAUGGCUGUCGUCAGCUCGUGUCGUGAGAUGUUGGGUUAAGUCCCGCAACGAGCGCAACCCUUGUCAUUAGUUGCCAUCAUUUAGUUGGGCACUCUAAUGAGACUGCCGGUGACAAACCGGAGGAAGGUGGGGAUGACGUCAAGUCCUCAUGGCCCUUAUGGGUAGGGCUUCACACGUCAUACAAUGGCUGGUACAAAGGGUUGCCAACCCGCGAGGGGGAGCCAAUCCCAUAAAGCCAGUCGUAGUCCGGAUCGUAGUCUGCAACUCGACUACGUGAAGUCGGAAUCGCUAGUAAUCGUGGAUCAGAAUGUCACGGUGAAUACGUUCCCGGGUCUU
rnacentral:rRNA from 1 species